GUUCAGCUCCACUGUUCUGCUCAGAGUUUCUUUGGAUUGACACAAGCAUCCCUGGGGAGCUGGUGAAAAUCUCUCUGAUCUGGCUUCUGUGACAAGAUGAAACACAUACAGCUGACUUGGAGGAAGGAGUGAAAGCAGCAGAAUACGUGUCAAGAGCGAGAAGAAAAAGACAACAGAAAACCAUCUUGAUUUUAUACCGCCUACCUACCUACCGCCUAUUACAAUGAAAGAAAUAGAAAUAGGGGCUUUAAUUUAGUACCAGGCUCAAAGGUGGCGAUUCAGGUUGUGCUUUGCAAAAAAUCCCCAUUCGUGUCUGUGUGUUAGCCGACAGCGACAGUUCAGAGGUCUUCACCUGGCAUCUGAGUGACUUAAAAAUGAGCAACGGAGACAUGAAGGAGAUGGGUCUGCAGAGACGCUGCCAGCACUCACUGCUAGAUUUUACCCUUCCCCUUGCUAAGUCCCAAGACCACCGGGUGUUCGAAACCUCUCUCUAAAAGCAUUCUGCAGCGCUCCCGCACUCACCUGCAUGGACCUGCCUGCACCCCUGCUGACUUCCCGCUGGGCAUCGCCGCUGCCUGCUCUGGCUUGUUUGUGUCUGAAACCAAGCCCUAAGAGCGGUGUUCUCUGGACUCACGUUACAACUGGAGGUGAUUCCAUCCCCGCCAGCACAAACCAUGGUGCGUUUCACUGUGCUUCCCCACCAGCUGGGCUUGGAACAAGUUGCAUAGUCCACCACCAGCAAAAGGCCUUGCUGCAGGUCAUCUGGAAGAGGUCCAUUUGCUGGGAGGGAAGAGAAACAAAGGAGUCAUGGUACCAGCUGGCACUGAAGAAAGAACAAAACUGCAUUGUUAAGUUUCUCCUAGGAUCUGGGUACUAUCCCUCCAGCUGCCAGAUUGUAUUUUCCAAGAAGUACUCGAUAGUUCCGAGAAGAACUGCGCGAGAAAAGGAGUAACAGUUACGCAGCUGCUGGCUGGCUGCUUAGGCAUCUGCAUCUUUGCCACCUGAGAGAUUCGUGGGCAGCUGUCAUCACCCAGUUGGUUGCAAUGAGGGUUCCUCCGCAGGUGUGGUACCAUUUGCCAUUUGAACUGAAUUGAAGGGAAGCCUAGGAUCAACGGAACAACUCAAGUUGCGUGUGUUUUAGCAUGCCAUGCUUCUUCAAUAAAACAGACUGUAAUCACUUUGAAGUGGAAGAUGUUUCAAGCAAUACCAGGGACCAGCUGGCCGUGACGAUGGAGAAACACUGGUGUAGCACGGUCUAGUCUAAAUAGGCUGAAGUAUCUUUCUUGGACUCAGCGGGCAUCAUACUGUUGGCAGUUCUGCAAGUGAACAUCAAAAGCCUCAGCCUCCAGCUGGUACCACGGUGGCUUGGAAACAGCUCCCCAGAAGCUCUUAUCAGCUUCACGCCAGAUGUUUCACAGAAACUAAGCAGCUCAUGGGCCUUCAGUAAGAAAGAGCAGGAACUUCUGGUAUGUUCUGUUAAAGUGUAAUAGCUAAUAUCUCUUUAAUACACAAUGUACUUAGUGUACAAUUUAUAAUGUACUCUGUUGUUUCGCUAUCUUUAGCCUGUUCCCUUGUAAGGUAGUAACUAUGCUAGACCAAUUAGUAAGUGGAAUAGUCCGCAGGUAAGUAACAGGCACUGAAAUCUGCUUUUCUGAGGGAGGUUUUUCAUCUGG